rnacentral:rRNA from 1 species
ACGAACGCUGGCAGCAUGCCUAACACAUGCAAGUCGAACGAGACCUUCGGGUCUAGUGGCGCACGGGUGCGUAACGCGUGGGAACCUGCCCUUAGGUUCGGAAUAACUCCCCGAAAGGGGUGCUAAUACCGGAUAAUGUCUUCGGACCAAAGAUUUAUCGCCUUUGGAUGGGCCCGCGUUGGAUUAGCUAGUUGGUAGGGUAAAAGCCUACCAAGGCGACGAUCCAUAGCUGGUCUGAGAGGAUGAUCAGCCACACUGGGACUGAGACACGGCCCAGACUCCUACGGGAGGCAGCAGUGGGGAAUAUUGGACAAUGGGCGAAAGCCUGAUCCAGCAAUGCCGCGUGAGUGAUGAAGGCCUUAGGGUUGUAAAGCUCUUUUACCCGGGAUGAUAAUGACAGUACCGGGAGAAUAAGCUCCGGCUAACUCCGUG